rnacentral:misc_RNA from 1 species
GUAGGUGAACCUGCGGAAGGAUCAUUACCGAGUAUCGGGUCUCAGUGCCCGCGCUCCAACCCUCUGUGUACCAACUUUGUUGCUUUGGCGGGCCCGCGGUGCAACGCCGCCACCGGCUCACGCUGGUUAGUGCCCGCCAGAGGACCGUUAAACUCUUGUUUAAACAGUGUAGUCUGAGUAAAAUCUAAUAGUUAAAACUUUCAACAACGGAUCUCUUGGUUCUG